GGGACCCUUACUGCUGUGUUUGCUGUACCAGCAUAUGAGAAACCUGUAGACUCUCUUUUAGAUUUGCCAAGAGCUGUUGAAGGAGGAUUUACUCUUACAGUAACAAAGGACUCUACCCACGAAUACCUGUUUAAGGAAGCCAAGGAAGGAAUCUACAAAAGGGUCUGGGAGUUAUUCAAUCACAAAGACCGUUCCAAGAGUUUUGUCAGCAGCCCAGCAGUGGGGCUUAACCUGGUUCUUGAAAAAAAAGUCAUCCAUAUUUGCUUGGAAGAUGUGGCUAAGGUGGUGGGAGCUGGUCUUGGUAGGAACAAGUUUCAUUUUAGCCGAGAACUUUUCUUCCCACAAAAUGUUGUCUUUGUUGUUCCUCCUGGAGCGCCUUAUAAGGAAUCCUUCAACCGUGUGAUGCAGAAACUAAUUGAAGGAGGGUUCAUCGACAAAUGGGAAUAUGACGAAAUAAAGAAAAUCUCUCAGAAGUCAUCAGGAGGAGGACGAGAAUCCAGAAGUCAAGUCAUUUCCCUUGGACAUCUUCAGAAUAUAUUGCCCCAGAGGUGGUUGUGACCUUUCAUAGUCCAAGAGAAGAAAUGCUGCAAGAAGUUCACAACCUUAAUACCUACAUUGAUCUACAGGGUAAUCAUCGCCACAUAAUAAAAAGUACAUUAAUUGUACAAGUCUCAUUUAAAAAAAAAAAAAAA